rnacentral:lncRNA from 1 species
UGCCUUCGGCCUUGAUCUCUAAGUCUCUGUUUUUCUCAUGGCCAGCCUGGGCUAGCACAGGCCUGAUCUCCAAGGAUCAUCGGCAGGAACCCACCCUCCAGAGCCAGCAGCACCAGCAAGACAGCUCCUUCUUGGUGAGCCUCACCCUUCGGCCUGCUCCCACUCCGAGCCCCUGGCCCCCCUUUGGACUUCCCCGCUCCCUGCCCUGGCCCCCUCGCCACUCUGUUCCCAUCCCAGGCCCCCUACCCUGGCCCCGCGUCCCCAAAUUCAGCCUGGAGAGCCACCCUGGGCCCCUGGCGACUAGACGGGCGGGAGGACAGGGUGACAGGCGGGAGAGGUGGAGCAAACACAGUGGGUGUCUGUCUGCUUGACCAGGAGGGAUCAGCCCAAGUGACCUGUAGCAGCUGUCAGAUCAUCAUGCAGAAACUUAAGGACAUGGUUGGGAACAACACCAAGGACAUGGAGGCGAUUAAGCGUGCGGAGAACCAGUUGUGCAAGUUUGUGAGUUUUAUCCUCCGGAAGUCCUGCCAGACUCUCAUGUUGAAAUACUUGCUCCCCAUCGCCAUUGCUGUUCGGCUGGGCAAGUCUCCCCGGGACGUCUGCGUGGGCAUCAAGUUCUGCAAGAAUAAGGAAGGUUGCCAGGGAAAAGAUCUGAGAGCCCGAAUCUACCCUUGAGAAGAAGAGUCUGGAGGGAGAGUGGCCCCAGCCUGACAGAUGGUCCCUCCGGAGAUACUGAUCCUGCUCAGAAGUUUCAGCGGCUCUGUCCCUGCCCCCCCUCCCCCCCGAUCUGCCAACACCCCCACUCCAACUUGCAGCCCCUCCCCCUGGCUUUUCCAGAGAAUAAAAUGUCAUGAACGCACUGGGCUUCAGUGAUGGAUGUGGAGGGAGGAAACCUCAUGCUUUGGCAGGGCUGAAGCAGUGUCCACAGGUGCACCCGCCAGGGCAGGGCAUCAUCAUCCCUGCUUCCCCGAAGCCCUGCCCACCGCCUCUUUGGGUCCAUUCCCUUUGUCCGAGCUGCCAGUGUGGCCCUGCCCUGGGGGAGCAGGCAGGGCUAGGGCAACAACGGACAGGCUGGCAGCGCGGAC